rnacentral:rRNA from 1 species
UACAGAGGGGGGCAAGCGUUGUUCGGAAUUACUGGGCGUAAAGGGCGCGUAGGCGGCCUUCUAAGUCGAACGUGAAAUCCCUGGGCUCAACCCAGGAACUGCGUCCGAUACUGGAAGGCUUGAACGUCCGGAGAGGGAUGCGGAAUUCCAGGUGUAGCGGUGAAAUGCGUAGAUAUCUGGAGGAACACCGGUGGCGAAGGCGGCAUCCUGGACCGGUAUUGACGCUGAGGCACGAAAGCGUGGGGAGCAAACAGG